AUUGAACGCUGGCGGCAGGCUUAACACAUGCAAGUCGAGCGGAGAUGAGGUGCUUGCACCUUAUCUUAGCGGCGGACGGGUGAGUAAUGCUUAGGAAUCUGCCUAUUAGUGGGGGACAACAUUCCGAAAGGAAUGCUAAUACCGCAUACGCCCUACGGGGGAAAGCAGGGGAUCUUCGGACCUUGCGCUAAUAGAUGAGCCUAAGUCGGAUUAGCUAGUUGGUGGGGUAAAGGCCUACCAAGGCGACGAUCAGUAGCUGGUCUGAGAGGACGAUCAGCCACACUGGGACUGAGACACGGCCCAGACUCCUACGGGAGGCAGCAGUGGGGAAUUUUGGACAAUGGGCGAAAGCCUGAUCCAGCAAUGCCGCGUGUAUGAAGAAGGCCUUCGGGUUGUAAAGUACUUUCAGCGGGGAGGAAGGGAGUGAGGUUAAUAACCUUAUUCAUUGACGUUACCCGCAGAAGAAGCACCGGCUAACUCCGUGCCAGCAGCCGCCGUAACAC
rnacentral:rRNA from 1 species